UACAGAGGUCCCAAGCGUUGCUCGGAAUCACUGGGCGUAAAGCGCACGUAGGCGGACUCUUAAGUCAGGGGUGAAAUCCUGGAGCUCAACUCCAGAACUGCCUUUGAUACUGGGAGUCUUGAGUUCGGGAGAGGUGAGUGGAACUGCGAGUGUAGAGGUGAAAUUCGUAGAUAUUCGCAAGAACACCAGUGGCGAAGGCGGACUCACUGGCCCGAGUACUGACGCUGAGGUGCGAAAGCGUGGG
rnacentral:rRNA from 1 species